rnacentral:rRNA from 1 species
UACAGAGGUCUCAAGCGUUGUUCGGAUUCAUUGGGCGUAAAGGGUGUGUAGGUGGCGCGCUAAGUCGGGUGUGAAAUUUCGGAGCUUAACUCCGAAACUGCAUUCGAUACUGGCGUGCUUGAGGACUGGAGAGGAGACUGGAAUUCAUGGUGUAGCAGUGAAAUGCGUAGAUAUCGGGAGGAACACCAGUGGCGAAGGCGGCCUUCUGGGUCGACCCUGACGCUGAGGCGCGAAAGCGUGGGGAGCGAACGGG